rnacentral:rRNA from 1 species
UACGGAGGGUGCGAGCGUUGUCCGGAAUCAUUGGGCGUAAAGGGCGCGCAGGUGGCUCUGUAUGUCUGCCGUGAAAGCAUACAGCUCAACUGUAUUGUGUCGGUAGAAACUGCAGGACUUGAGGCUGGGAGGGGCUGGUGGAAUUCCCUGUGUAGCGGUGAAAUGCGUAGAGAUGGGGGAGAACACUCGUGGCGAAGGCGGCCAGCUAGACCAGUUCUGACACUGAGGCGCGACAGCGUGGGGAGCAAACAGG